rnacentral:rRNA from 1 species
GAUGAACGCUGGCGGCGUGCCUAAUACAUGCAAGUCGAGCGAAUGGAUUAAGAGCUUGCUCUUAUGAAGUUAGCGGCGGACGGGUGAGUAACACGUGGGUAACCUGCCCAUAAGACUGGGAUAACUCCGGGAAACCGGGGCUAAUACCGGAUAACAUUUUCAACUGCAUGGUUCGAAAUUGAAAGGCGGCUUCGGCUGUCACUUAUGGAUGGACCCGCGUCGCAUGAGCUAGUUGGUGAGGUAACGGCUCACCAAGGCAACGAUGCGUAGCCGACCUGAGAGGGUGAUCGGCCACACUGGGACUGAGACACGGCCCAGACUCCUACGGGAGGCAGCAGUAGGGAAUCUUCCGCAAUGGACGAAAGUCUGACGGAGCAACGCCGCGUGAGUGAUGAAGGCCUUCGGGUCGUAAAACUCUGUUGUUAGGGAAGAACAAGUGCUAGUUGAAUAAGCUGACACCUUGACGGUACCUAACCAGAAAGCCACGGCUAACUACGUGCCAGCCGCCGCGGUAA